CAUCCCCAUGUAAUAACCCCAUGUCAUUUCUCCAUGGCUGUUUUCUCUCCUCUUCUUUUUAGGGGCUCAAUGGGCUUCCAGGCCCCCCAGGACCAAUGGGGCCACGGGGUGCCCCAGGCGAGAUCAUCGAGCGGCCAGGCCAAAAGGGGGAAAGAGGAUUACCAGGAGCGGAUGGGAUCCCAGGAAGCCCUGGUCGCCCUGGCAACUCUGGCUCCCCUGGCCAGCCAGGUAGACAAGGCAUUCCUGGCCUCCGAGGGCUCCCAGUAUGUAUUGCUCCCACUUUCCCGUUAGCCUGGCUCUCUGCUCUGGAGCACCCCUGCUUACUGUUGCCUUUGCCUUCCAGGGGGAGCAGGGCCCAGUGGGGCCUCCCGGGCAACGGGGAGAGAAAGGCGAACCGGGAGAUCCAGGAGUGAUUGUGAACGGAGGAGGGGGGCUGCCUGGCCGGAAAGGGGAGCCUGGGAGUCG
rnacentral:lncRNA from 1 species